rnacentral:lncRNA from 1 species
UUUGAUGUUAGAUAAUAUAUUUCAUGCUAUUGAGGUUCGAGUUGGGGCUAGGGAAAGGAAAAUCGGAGUUUUGUUUUGAACUCCAUUGUAGAAAAUGCAGUUUCUGUUAUGGUGCAGGGUGACGAGCGUGACCCUAAUGACGCCUUAACCGUCAUCGCUUUGGAGGCACUGGAGGGUAGACCGUCAUGGUCCCCCGACUUGUUU